UUCAACGUGAGAGUUUGAUCCUGGCUCAGAGCGAACGCUGGCGGCAGGCUUAACACAUGCAAGUCGAGCGGGCCCUUCGGGGUCAGCGGCGGACGGGUGGUAACGCGUGGGAACGUGCC
rnacentral:rRNA from 1 species